rnacentral:rRNA from 1 species
AUACGUAGGUGGCAAGCGUUGUCCGGAUUUACUGGGCGUAAAGGGAGCGUAGGUGGAUAUUUAAGUGGGAUGUGAAAUACUCGGGCUUAACCUGGGUGCUGCAUUCCAAACUGGAUAUCUAGAGUGCAGGAGAGGAAAGGAGAAUUCCUAGUGUAGCGGUGAAAUGCGUAGAGAUUAGGAAGAAUACCAGUGGCGAAGGCGCCUUUCUGGACUGUAACGGACACUGAGGCGCGAAAGCGUGGGGGGCAAACGGGAUUAGAUCCCCUGGUAGUCCACGCCGUAAACGAUGAAUACUAGGUGUAGGGGUUGUCAUGACCUCUGUGCCGCCGCUAACGCAUUAAGUAUUCCGCCUGGGGAGUACGGUCGCAAGAUUAAAACUCAAAGGAAUUGGCGGGG